rnacentral:lncRNA from 1 species
AAAGGAGUGCCUUGGUGCUGGCAGAAGCCGGGGGGCACAGCUGGGUUUUACAAGGAAGGACGAAAUCUCAUCUCAGCAAUCGGGAUAGAUCAACCGUUGCCCGUCUGAGGUGACCCAAUUCAGGGACCAGCCGCUUGGCUCUGAACACACACGUGUCACAACCCCAGCUCGUACCCAGGCCUUGCUAGAGCUCCUCGGGACAGGCCUGAAUUCAUGAUACCAUCU